rnacentral:rRNA from 1 species
AGAACGAACGCUGGCGGCAUGCCUAACACAUGCAAGUCGAACGAGACCUUCGGGUCUAGUGGCGCACGGGUGCGUAACGCGUGGGAAUCUGCCCUUGGGUUCGGAAUAACAGUUGGAAACGACUGCUAAUACCGGAUGAUGACGUAAGUCCAAAGAUUUAUCGCCCAGGGAUGAGCCCGCGUAGGAUUAGCUAGUUGGUGAGGUAAAGGCUCACCAAGGCGACGAUCCUUAGCUGGUCUGAGAGGAUGAUCAGCCACACUGGGACUGAGACACGGCCCAGACUCCUACGGGAGGCAGCAGUGGGGAAUAUUGGACAAUGGGCGAAAGCCUGAUCCAGCAAUGCCGCGUGAGUGAUGAAGGCCUUAGGUUGUAAAGCUCUUUACCCGGGAUGAUAAUGACAGUACCGGAGAAUAAGCUCCGGCUAACUCCGUGUCAGCAGCCGC